UGGGGGGGGGGGCCUAAACACAUGCAAGUCGAACGGAAACAUGUCUAGCUUGCUAGAUGAUGUCGAGUGGCGGACGGGUGAGUAAUACUUAGGAACAUGCCUUUGGGUGGGGGAUAACUAUUGGAAACGAUAGCUAAUACCGCAUAACGUCUACGGACCAAAGGGGGGAGCUUGCUCCUCUCGCCCAAAGAGUGGCCUAAGCGAGAUUAGCUUGUUGGUGAGGUAAAGGCUCACCAAGGCGACGAUCUCUAGCUGUUCUGAGAGGAAGAUCAGCCACACUGGGACUGAGACACGGCCCAGACUCCUACGGGAGGCAGCAGUGGGGAAUAUUGCACAAUGGAGGAAACUCUGAUGCAGCCAUGCCGCGUGUGUGAAGAAGGCCUUCGGGUUGUAAAGCACUUUCAGUUGUGAGGAAAGCUUGGUGGUUAAUACCCAUCAGGUAUGACGUUAGCAACAGAAGAAGGACCGGCUAACUCCGUGCCAGCAGCCGCGGAC
rnacentral:rRNA from 1 species